rnacentral:rRNA from 1 species
GCGUGUGCUUCCGGUACAUGCAACUCGCAACCAGCUCGGGCCAUGAUGCUCGGUUGGGGCUCUUUGGCGUGCUUAUACACCAAUGCCAACCAUGAUAAAGCAAACUUUGAAUCCUCGAUUGCUAUUAGAUAGCGAUCACAAACAAAGACAACUCUCAACAACGGAUAUCUUGGCUCUCGCAACGAUGAAGAACGCAGCGAAAUGCGAUACGUAGUGUGAAUUGCAGAAUUCCGUGAACCAUCGAAUCUUUGAACGCAUAUUGCGCUCGAGCCUCCGGGCAAGAGCAUGUCUGCCUCAGCGUCGGUUUACACCCUCACUCCUCUUACCUUAUGGUGAGUCUGUCAGUUGUUCAACUGACGCCGGAGUGGAUCUGGCUUCCCCAAUUCUUGUGCAACAGUGACUUGGGUUGGCUAAAGCCAAGAGGCUUAAACAAGGACCCAAUAUGGGCUUCAACUGGAUAGGUAGUCACGGCAUUGCCGCCUACACGAAGUUGUGGCUCGUGGACCUUGUUAGGGACCAUGCAGAAACAUGCUCGUGCAUGUAUCAAACAUUCGACCUGAGCUCAGGCAAGGCUACCCGCUGAACUUA